CACGUAGGGCGCAAGCGUUGUCCGGAAUUAUUGGGCGUAAAGAGCUCGUAGGCGGACUGUCACGUCUGCUGUGAAAAGCUGGGGCUUAACCCUGGCCUUGCAGUGGAUACGGGCAGACUAGAGGUAGGUAGGGGAGAAUGGAAUUCCCGGUGUAGCGGUGAAAUGCGCAGAUAUCGGGAAGAACACCCGUGGCGAAGGCGGCUCUCUGGGACGGUACUGACGCUGAGACGCGAAAGCGUGGGGAGCAAACAGG
rnacentral:rRNA from 1 species